rnacentral:rRNA from 1 species
UACAGAGGGUGCAAGCGUUAUUCGGAAUCACUGGGCUUAAAGGGCGCGUAGGCGGGCGGCCAAGUCAGAGGUGAAAGCCCCCAGCUCAACUGGGGAAGUGCCUUUGAUACUGGUCGUCUCGAGGGAGAUAGGGGCGUGCGGAACUUCCGGUGGAGCGGUGAAAUGCGUAGAUAUCGGAAGGAACACCGGUGGCGAAAGCGGCGCGCUGGAUCUCUUCUGACGCUGAGGCGCGAAAGCCAGGGGAGCGAACGGG